AUGUGUCUCUUGGAACUCUUUGGCGACACCACAGGCCUAAGGAUAAACCCGGACAAAACUUCUGUCGCCCCAAUUUGAUGCGAGGACCUUGAUCUGCAACACGUGCUUCAAAACUUCACUGGGAAGAUUCUAGGCUUCCCAUUGACGUAUCUAGGUCUCCCGAUUACCAUUUCCAGACUGCGCAUCAUGCACCUGCAGUUCAUUCUAGAUAGGAUCCAUGCACGCCUCACGGGAUGGAAAGGACAUCUGCUGUUAAUCGCCGACCAGAGGGUUUUAGUUAGAAGCGUCCUGACGGCAUUGCCGACGUACGCACUGUCCGUCCUCAGGGCGCCUAUUAAAUUUUUCAAGGACAUUGACAAGGCGCGCCGGCGUUUCCUCUAG
rnacentral:rRNA from 1 species